GACGAACGCUGGCGGCGUGCUUAAUACAUGCAAGUCGAACGGAAAGGCUCUGCUUUUGUGGGGUGCUCGAGUGGCGAACGGGUGAGUAACACGUGAGUAACCUGCCCUUGACUUUGGGAUAACUUCAGGAAACUGGGGCUAAUACCGGAUAGGAGCUCCUGCUGCAUGGUGGGGGUUGGAAAGUGUCGGCGGUUGGGGAUGGACUCGCGGCUUAUCAGCUUGUUGGUGGGGUAGUGGCUUACCAAGGCUUUGACGGGUAGCCGGCCUGAGAGGGUGACCGGCCACAUUGGGACUGAGAUACGGCCCAGACUCCUACGGGAGGCAGCAGUGGAGAAUAUUGCACAAUGGGCGGAAGCCUGAUGCAGCAACGCCGCGUGCGGGAUGACGGCCUUCGGGUUGUAAACCGCUUUCGCCUGUGACGAAGCGUGAGUGACGGUAAUGGGUAAAGAAGCACCGGCUAACUACGUG
rnacentral:rRNA from 1 species